CGUCUAUAUACGUAUAGCAUAUCAAUAAGCGGAGGAAAAGAAACUAACUAGGAUUCCCUCAGUAACGGCGAGUGAAGCGGGAAGAGCUCAAAUUUGAAAUCUUCAAGGUUCUACCUUGACGAAUUGUAGUUUAAAGAAGUGUUUUCUGUUGGAGUUUUGGUAAAAGUUCUUUGGAAUAGGACAUCAUAGAGGGUGAGAAUCCCGUAUUUGACCAUUAUUUCCAACUUUGUGAUACACUUUCAAAGAGUCGGAUUGUUUGGGAAUGCAGUCCAAAAUGGGUGGUAAAUUUCAUCUAAAGCUAAAUACUGGCGAGAGACCGAUAGCGAACAAGUACCGUGAGGGAAAGAUGAAAAGAACUUUGAAAAGAGAGUUAAACAGUACGUGAAAUUGUCAAAAGGGAAGCGUUUGACACCAGUGUUGUUUUCUCGAAAAUCAAUUAAAAAUGGUGGGAUGUUGUGUUGUUAUUGACUUUAUCAGCUUUCUGCACUUUUUUUCCUAUCUUUUUAAUGCACUUUUCGUUUAACAAGUCAACAUCAAUUUCUUUUGUUGUAAAAGAGUCAUUGGAAGGUGGCUUUCUUUUCGGAGAAAGUGCUUAUAGCCUUUGGCUUCUGCAAUCGGAGAGAUUGAGGUCUGCAGCGUAGAUCCUUCGGGGUUAGAUACAUUUGUGCUAAGUUAUAGCCUUUCAUAGACAACUUGUUGACUAUGAUCAGUCAUGUAGCUUACUCGCUUAUGUCAUUUUACCUACGCUUAGGAUGUUGACACACGCGCGUGCUCG
rnacentral:rRNA from 1 species